rnacentral:rRNA from 1 species
UAACGACUCUCGGCAACGGAUAUCUCGGCUCUCGCAUCGAUGAAGAACGCAGCAAAAUGCGAUACUUGGUGUGAAUUGCAGAAUCCCGUGAAUCAUCGAGUUUUUGAACGCAAGUUGCGCCCAAAGCCUUCCAGCUGAGGGCACGUCUGCCUGGGUGUCACGC